rnacentral:lncRNA from 1 species
GUGUAGAGGUGGGCUGUGUGUGUAGAGGUGGGUGUGUGUAUAGCGUGGGGUGUGUAUAGAGGUGGGUGUGUGUGUGUAUAGAGUGUGUGGCGGUGUGUGUGUAUAGAGGGGGCGUGUGUAUAUAGAGGUGGCUGUGUGUAUAGAGGUGGGCUGUGUGUAUAGAGGUGGGCGGCUGUGUGUAUAGAGGGGGCUGUGUGUGUCGAGGUGGGCUGUGUGUAUAGAGGUGGGCUGUGUUUAGAGGUGGGCUGUGUGUAUAGAGGUGGGCUGUGUAUAGAGGUGAGCUGGUGUGUAUAGAGGUGAGCUGUGGGUGUAG